UACGUAGGGUGCAAGCGUUGUCCGGAAUUAUUGGGCGUAAAGAGCUCGUAGGCGGCUUGUUGCGUCGGAUGUGAAAGCCCGGGGCUUAACCCCCGGGUCUGCAUUCGAUACGGGCAGGCUGGAGUUCGGUAGGGGAGAUCGGAAUUCCUGGUGUAGCGGUGAAAUGCGCAGAUAUCAGGAGGAACACCGGUGGCGAAGGCGGAUCUCUGGGCCGAUACUGACGCUGAGGAGCGAAAGCGUGGGGAGCGAACAGG
rnacentral:rRNA from 1 species